UUGACGGCCGGGGAAGAAGUGGAGAUGGUGAACAGCUUUCUGUCACGUUGUGCCAUCACAACUAAGUACAUGACAAAAUCAGCUCGGAAUGACAUGUUGACUGUCCAUGCAAUGGGGUGGAACAGACGGAAGCACGAAAACCUUCAUUUUGUGUUGGCCAAGAGAUAUGUCAAGGUAAUUGGCCAUGUAAGCAUGGACAGCAGGAGUCCUGUGUCAGUACCAGCUUUCCGUGAGCAGGCCUUCUCUCACACUCACACACCUACCUACAAAUGCAAAGUGUUAACGUUUAGGGUUGACAGCAUUAUAUUGAGUUAUUACGGUUUUAUCUGAGUUAUUAUCUGCCGUUCAGAAGCAGAUCUCUCCCUUCCCUGUCACUUUGCGAGUGCAGUAAAGCCUGCCUCCAGUGCUGCAGGAUCUGCAUUCUGAUUGGCUAAAUCACUUCUGUGUUGAAAACUCUGUGUAACGAUUGGCCUGGAACUUGUGUGUUGUUUACCCUUUGUGAACUGUGAUACAUAUGCG